rnacentral:rRNA from 1 species
AGAGUUUGAUCCUGGCUCAGGAUGAACGCUAGCGGCAGUAAUACAUGCAAGUCGAGGGGCAACAGGGGUAGCAAUACCUGCUGGCGACCGGCAAACGGGUGCGCAACACGUACAGAACCUUCCUUUAAGCGGGGGAUAGCCCAUAGAAAUGUGGAUUAAUACCCCAUAGUAUUAUUGAUUGGCAUCAGUUAAUAAUUAAAGAUUUAUCACUUAAAGAUGGCUGUGCGUCUGAUUAGGUAGUUGGUUGGGGUAACGGCCCACCAAGCCAACGAUCAGUAACUGGUGUGAGAGCACGACCAGUCACACGGGCACUGAGACACGGGCCCGACUCCUACGGGAGGCAGCAGUAAGGAAUAUUGGUCAAUGGACGCAAGUCUGAACCAGCCAUGCCGCGUGGAGGAUGAAGGCCCUCUGGGUUGUAAACUUCUUUUAUCUGGGAAGAAAUGCCUGCUUUUUAGCGGGUUUGACGGUACCAGAGGAAUAAGCACCGGCUAACUCCGUGCCAGCAGCCGCGGUAAUACGGAGGGUGCAAGCGUUAUCCGGAUUCACUGGGUUUAAAGGGUGCGUAGGUGGGUUGGUAAGUCAGUGGUGAAAUCUCCGUGCUUAACAUGGAAACUGCCAUUGAUACUACUGGUCUUGAAUUUUCUGGAGGUAAGCGGAAUAUGUCUGUAGCGGUGAAAUGCUUAGAUAUGACAUAGAACACCAAUUGCGAAGGCAGCUUACUACAGGGACAUUGACACUGAGGCACGAAAGCGUGGGGAUCAAACAGGAUUAGAUACCCUAGUAGUCC